rnacentral:rRNA from 1 species
CCUACGGGAGGCAGCAGUGGGGAAUAUUGGACAAUGGGGGCAACCCUGAUCCAGCCAUGCCGCGUGGGUGAAGAAGGCCUUAGGGUUGUAAAACCCUUUCAGCGGGGAAGAUGAUGACGGUACCCGCAGAAGAAGCCCCGGCUAACUCCGUGCCAGCAGCCGCGGUAAUACGGAGGGGGCUAGCGUUGUUCGGAAUUACUGGGCGUAAAGGGCGUGUAGGCGGUCUAUCGAGUCAGGCGUGAAAGCCCCGGGCUUAACCUGGGAACUGCGUUUGAUACUGAUAGACUAGAGGUUGGAAGAGGAGAGUGGAAUUCCCAGUGUAGAGGUGAAAUUCGUAGAUAUUGGGAAGAACACCAGUGGCGAAGGCGGCUCUCUGGUCCAUACCUGACGCUGAGGCGCGAAAGCGUGGGGAGCAAACAGGAUUAGAUACCCUGGUAGUCCACGCCGUAAACGAUGUGUGCUAGACGUCGGGUGUUCAGCAUUCGGUGUCGGAGCUAACGCAUUAAGCACACCGCCUGGGGAGUACGGCCGCAAGGUUAAAACUCAAAGGAAUUGACGG